UUUCAUUUGCGCCGAUUUUUGUUUUCAUUUGCGCCGAAUUUUUUACAGGUAAUUUACAGGUUAAUUACAGGUAAAUAGAUAUAAGAAGAUGUGGUAUGAGUGCAAAUGAGACAACUCUCCAUCCAAGUCAUGUUAUUUUUCAUUUAUCAUUAUAGACCACUUCCGUCAUCCAGUUGUACACUAUAUUCACAUACUUUAAAAUCAAGAAGUAAAAACCUUAGAUAAAAGCCCUCUGGUUUAUACUAAAAUGACGAAUUGAAAAUUUAUUUACAGCAUUCAAAUCCAUAAAAACGGAAUACAUUAAAAUCAUAAAUCUGUUCUUGCUGAGUAUUUAUAGGCAACACAUCUACUAUAUUCCUUUCUUGUGAUUUCGUCUCUUCUAUAUUUGUUGUAAUUGUCAAUAACGAAGUCCAUCUUUUCUUUGUCUGGCUUACGUACUUAUGUGUAUGGCCGUCGAUGGUUAAAGAAUUGACUCCUCGGCUCGUUGCAGUGUGCAAUAUGUCCAUCAAUUUACAGCAAAGUUCAGAACAAUAUGAAUCAAAAUUAACUAAAACCUAUGUUUAUAA
rnacentral:lncRNA from 1 species